CCCCAUUGACCCCAUUGACCCCAUUUCCCCCAUUUCCCUCACUGACCCCAUUGACCCCAUUUCCCCCAUUGCCCCCAUUGCCCCCAUUUCCCCCAUUGCCCCCCUGACCCUACAAACGCCCCUAUAGGGCCCACGCGGACGUCGCCGCGGCUGCCCUCGCCCCACGACCCCACAGCGCCGCGUCACCCCACAGGUGACAUGGGGGGCACCGGGNNNNNNNNNNNNNNNNNNNNNNNNNNNNNNNNNGGGGGGGGAGGUGACAUUUGGGGUCAUUUAGGGACAUUUUAGGGUCAUUUUAGGGUCAUUUUGGGGCCAUUUUGGGNCAUUUUUGGGCCAUUUUGGGAUAUUUUGGGUCCAUUUGGGGCCAUUUUGGGACAUCUUGGGAAAUGUUGGGACAUUUUGGGUCCAUUUUUGGCCAUUUUGGGCCAUUUUGGGAAAUUUUGGGACAUUUUGGGUCCAUUUUUGGCCAUUUUGGGUCCAUUUUGGGACAUUUUGGGUCCAUUUUUGGCCAUUUUGGGUCCAUUUUGGGACAUUUUGGGUCCAUUUUAGGACAUUUUGGGGACAUUUUAGCGUCAUUUUGGAUCCAUUUAUGGCCAUUUUGGGUCAUUUUAGGGACAUUUUGGGUUCAUUUUUGGUGCCAUUUGGGACAUUUUUGGGUCAUUUUAGGGUCAUUUUGGGUCCAUUUUGGGUCA
rnacentral:lncRNA from 1 species